AGGUGUACAGUCAUACACAGGGGCAAGUAGUCUCUUCUUUGUUGCAACAAAACCAGUUCAGUUUUACAGAGGGGUCUAUAAACAACAUUGUACGUCUACCUGAGUCUCUGUGAGUCUAUAUUUUUGAAAAUGAAAGCUGUCGUGAUUGCCUGUCUGCUGUUUACCCUGGCUGUUGUUGUGGCCGACCAAGUCGAUGACGUGCCUGCGGUCAGAGAGUUGCAGGAAUCAAAGAGAGUUGUUCCAGUAGAGGCGGCCAGUGCUGACGUGGACCGUAAACAAAUCAACGACUGUGAAUUUAGGCCGUGGGAGCGUCAGUGUCGUUAGGUCAACAUGUCCAGUCGAGGAUGACCUAAGAUUUAAAAAUUGGACACAUCCUAAACUAAUUGUUAUCCAAUUAUAAUUAAUUAAAACAAUAUGAAUUGCUAGUAGUAAGAAAGUUUCAAUAA